rnacentral:lncRNA from 1 species
GACGAAAACCCUUUUGAGGGCGGAGCCCCAGUUUCGCUGCAACCUAAUUAGUUAGUGCAAGCAGUAAAUACAUUAAAACACACACACACACACACACGCAUAUAUGCAUACAUAUACUUAUAUAUAUAUAUAUAUAUAUAUAUAUAUAUAACACACACACACACACACACACACACACACACACACAUAUAUAUAUAUAUAUAUACAUACGUAUAUAUAGAUAUUUACAUAUGCAUAUAUAUAUAUAUACGUACAUAAAUACAUACAUGUAUAUAUAUAUAUGUGUGUGUAUAUAUAUAUAUAUAUAUAUAUGUAUAUAUAUAUAUAUGUAUAUGUAUAUCUAUAUAUAUGUAUAUAUGUAUAUAUAUAUAUAUAUAUAUAUAUAUAUAUAUAUAUAUAUAUAUAUAUAUAUAUAUAUAUAUAUAUUUAUAUACGUAUAUAUAUGUCUUUGUGUAUGUAUUACAUUAGUUAAAGCGCUCACAGAGUCCAUUGUCUAAUUGUCUUCGACAUUGUCCAAUUGUCCAUCCAUUGUUUCUUUAUUGUCCAUCCAUUGUCCACCCAAUUGUCUACCUCUACACUUCCCCACUCACCCUUCUUUCUUUGUCUGUCUGUCUGUCUGUCUGUCUCUGUCCAUUUGUCUCUCUAUCUGUCUGUCUCUCUCUGUCUCUCUGUCUCUCUGUCUCUCUCUCAGUUUCACUUUCUCUAUUAUAUUUAUUAGACAGGAAUCGAAAGGCGGUAACAAUACACACACACACACACACACACACACACACACACACACACACACACACACACACACACACACACACGCGCGCACACAUCCUUCCUUCCUUCAAUAGGUUGUUGACAUCAAUGCGUGAGAAGCGGAAACUGUCCAAGUAAUUUCAUAUAAAAAAAAAAAUGACAAAAAAAAAAAAUGACAAAAAAAAAAAUGACAAAAUAUAAAAAUGAAAAUAACAAAAGCAACAACAAUUGCCGAAUAAAUAAAUAAAUAUAAAUAAACAACAAGUGAAUAUUCUCGGCAUAUCUAUUAAAUAUGUAUAAACCUGUAAUGUGCCUCUGUGUAUAUGUGUGUAUGUGUACAUAUAUAUAUUUAUAUAUAUUCAUUAUAUAUAUAUAUAUAUAUAUAUAUAUAUAUAUAUAUAUAUGUAUAUGUGUGUGCGUGCCUGUGUGUAUAUAAUGCUAUGUUACUCCAUAAUAAUCCUAUUUAAUAUAUAUAUAUAUCUAUAUAUGUGUGUAUGUGUGUGUGUAUGUAUACAUACAUACAUAUAUGUAAUAUGACAUACAAACUCAUACACAUAUACAUACAUGAUACAUACAUAUAUAUACGUAUGUGUGUGUAUAUAUAUAUACAUGUAUAUCAAUAUAUCUCUCUAGUUAUAUGUAUAUAUAUAUUGUGUGUGUAUAUAUACCUAUAUAUAUAUAUAUAUAUAUAUAUAUAUAUAUAUAUAUAUAUACAUACAUACAAUAUAUAUAUACACAUGCGUAUAUAUAUGUAUGUAUAUAUGUGUAUGGGUUUCUAGGUCAUAUUACAUAUACGUAUGUAUGUAUACAUACACACACACACAUAUAUAUAUAUAUAUAUAUUAAUAAGGAUAUAUAUACAUAUAUAUAUAUAUACAUACAUACAAUAUAUAUAUAUACAUACAUAUAUAUAUGUAUACACAUAUAUAUACCUAUAUAUACAUACAUGCAUAUAUAUAUAUAUAUAUAUAUAUAUAUAUAUAUAUAUAUAUAUAUGUAUGUAUGUAUGUAUAUAUGUAAUAACGCUAAACCAACGUAAGGAAAUGAGUUGAGAUAAGAUCAGCUCGCAACACCCAUUUUAAAUUAUUAUAGGGUCACUUUAUGUAUAAGAGUCCUUAUGUGAACGCUGAUUAACAUUGUGCACAUAUUUGCGCGCCUGCGUGUACAUACAUACAUACAAACAAACACAUACACAUAUAUCUACACACACAUAUUUAUAUAUAUAUAUAUAUAUAUAUAUAUAUAUACUAGCAGUAUCGCCCGGCGUCGCUCGGGUUUGUAAGGGAAAUAACUAUUUAAGCAUUUUUAGAGUUAUAGCCAAAAAAUAGCAAAAAAAUGGGAAAAAAAAUGAUGGUAAAUUUUUUAAAAAAUCGUUGACUCAUCGUAGAAAUUUUUAGAGAGUUACUUCCCUUAUAUAAUAGCGAAAAAAUGCAUUAAAAUGGAAAAAAAUGAUGGUAAAUUAUUUUUUAAAUCGUAGACUCAUCGUAGACGCGCGCUAAUACACAGAAGGGCUCGAUAUGAAUCACGACUAUAAGAUACCCGGUUUUGGUUAAACUGCACCGCAAAAUGUGGGAGUAGUUAGUAAUCUAAAUCGUAGGAGACAGACACACAACCUCUCUUUUAUAUAUAAAGAUAUAUAUAUAUAUAUAUAUAUAUAUAUAUAUAUAUAUAUAUAUAGAGAGAGAGAGAGAGAGAGAUAGACAUACAUACAUACAUAAUUUCGAAAAUCGAGGUCGAUUUUGACUUUGAUUCUUCCAGAGUCGAUAAGAUAAGUACCAGUUGAAUACUGGGGUCGAUGUAAUUCGAACUAUCUAUUCAGCUCCCCCUAAAUUAUUGGCCUUGUGCCCAAAACUAGCAGAUCAGCUAUUGCGGCUACUGGACUCCAAUCAAGCUUAAAAAAAAAAAAAUGAAAGAGUUGAAGACCAAAAUCUUCUUGGGGCAGAACUUUCAUAACCAGCAUGAGAUAGAAAAUCGUGUGGAAAACCGCAGCCAAGAAACCAAACCUGUGGUUUCAACUUGCUGUCCAAAGUGGCUAGCGAACGCAGGAGGAUCUGAAACUGAACUGAACGGCUCUGAUACAGUGUUUAGGAAACCUAUUUCUUUACUACUCACAAGGGGCUAAACACAGAGAGGACAAACAAGGACAGACAAACGGAUUAAGUCGAUUAUAUCGACUCCAGUGCGUAACUAGUACUUAUUUAAUCGACCCCGGAAGGAUGAAAGGCAAAGUCGACCUCGGCGGAAUUUGAACUCAGAACAUAGCGGCAGAUGAAAUACCUAUUUCUUUACUAGCCACAAGGGGCUAAACACAGAGAGGACAAAGGACAGACAAACGGAUUAAGUCGAUUUUAUCGACUCCAGUGCGUAACUGGUACUUAUUUAAUCGACCCCGGAAGGAUGAAAGGCAAAGUCGACCUCGGCGGAAUUUGAACUCAGAAUGUAACGGCAGACGAAAUACGGCUACGCAUUUCGCCCGGCGUGCUAACGUUUCUGCCAGCUCGCCGCCUUACAGUGUUUCGGAAACCAACGAAGGCUGACUUUGCAAAAUUGUAGGACUGGAGUUGAAAGAUCACCCGUUUAUUUUUAGAAUUAAGUUUUGCAUUAAUCUUAAUGAUGUUGGGUUUGUCAUGUCCUGUUACGUUUAAAAGUACUUGGUUUGUUGCUGUCGUUGUUCGGCAGAAUAUAUCUAUCUGAUCGUCUAGAUAUUGAUUUUCAGAACAGAUGGUAAGUCAGUCCUGUUGGUUAGUGAACAGUUGGCAUAUCCGUGAAUGAUCGUCCUCACUUGCACAGGCGUGACUGCGUGGGAAGAAACCUACUUCCUCAAUCAUAUGGUCUUGCUUUCAGUCCCACUGUGCGCGGUACCUUAUCUAUCUGUGUGUGUGUGUGGGUUGGUUGGUGGGUGUUUGUGUUUGUGUCAGUUCCCUAACUACCGCUUAUCAACCGGUGUCUGUUUAUUUAUCUCCCUGUAACCUAGCAGUCCAGCAGCCGUCCAAGAAUUUGAACCUGGAGAUCUCCAUUUCCAGCGACUUCGAGGGCCACCUCCCAGUGGUGUCGGGCGUCAACGAAGAGCCCUCGACUACAACAAGACCACCAAAGUUUUUUCUUUCCAAGGUCUGGGGUCUCCCGCCCCUAAGCCCUAGAUCAUCACCUAAUCACCUUUACAACAACAACAACAACAGCAGUCCAGCAAAGAUACCGAUAGAAUAAUUACCAGGCUUGAAAUAAUAAAACAAUGUGGGCCGAUUUGUUGGACUAAAUCUUUCAAGGCGGUGCCCCAGCAUGGCCACAAGCCAAUGACUGAAACAAACAAAAAUAAUAAAUGACGAAAAAAAUGGCAAACAAUAAGAGUAAAACACAUUUAUGGCCCGAGUAAUUUGCAUAAAUGAAAAUGCAAAUACCUAGGGGAAAUAACCGAGUGUGACUAAUGGCAUGUAUUUGUACAACGGUCAAAUAAGGCGCUGGCGUGGCUGUGUGGUAAGAAGCUUGCUUCCCAACCACAUGGUUUGGGGUUCAGUUUCACUGCGUGGCGCCUUGGGCUAGUGUCCUCUACCAUAGCCUCGGGGCGACCAAAUCCUUGUGAGUGGAUUUGGUAGACAGAAACUGAAAGAAGCCUGUCGUAUACAUACAUACAUACAUACAUACAUACAUACAUACAUACAUACAUACACACACACACAAAUAUAUGUUUAUGUGUGUGUAUAUAUAUAUAUAUAUACACACACAUAUAUAUGUAUAUAUAUAUAUGUAUGUAUGUAUGUAUGUAUGUAUGUAUGUAUACAUGCAUGUAUGUAUGUAUGUAUGUAUGUAUGUAUGUAUGUAGGUAUGUAUAUAUGUCUGUAUGUAUGUAUGUAUGUAUGUAUGUAUGCGUAUAUAUCGUACGUCAUCACCGCUUGCCCACUGCUGUUGGUGUGUUUACGUCCGCGUAACUUAGCUGUUGAGUAAAAGAACCGAUAGAAUAAGUACCUUGCUUAAAUGAAAAAAAAAAAAAUUAAAAUAAGUACCGAGGUCGAUUCGUUCGACUAAAAUUCUUCUUCAAGGCCCUGUCCCAGCUGAGCCGCAGUCUAAUGGACAGAAACAAAUAACAAAAAAAUUCGUUUUGUGCUUUAAUAUCGCUGCGUUUAGUCCCAAAUCAAUAAUAUGCUAUUCUCUCUGUCUUUACCUCUCUCACUCUCUCCCUCUGUCUUCUGUCUCUCUCUCUCUCUGUCUGUCUCUCUCUCUCUCUCUCUCUCUGUCUCUCUCUCUCUCCUUCAGAUAUU